UGCGGGGGGUGGGAGUAGGCUGC
rnacentral:miRNA from 1 species